rnacentral:lncRNA from 12 species
AUUACAUGACUCUUUAGCAAGGACGGCUGGAUCUGGCCAAAGGAAGCUGAGCAAAUGCCAAGGGGAUGGGCAGGAGGAGAUAGAGCCUUCAAGGACAGUUUGAGAACCAGUCUGAGUCAGAACUGCAGCAGCCCCAGAGCCACAUAUGCAGAUGUUUGAUGAUUAGUGUAAAUUAUUUUAAUUACUAGACCCUGGGAUACAUUUCAAUGACCUGAGUAAAAUUGGCUCCAGUGAGUUCCGAGGGAGCUGUGGUCCUGAAGGGGAUCCAGAAGGACACAUUGAAGAUGGGACUGUGCCUUCAAUUCUGUCAUGAGAAUUGAAGCCAAGGGUGCUGAGAACCCAUGGAGCGGCAAUUUGGGGAAGAUGCGGGAUCUUCUCCACAAAUACUUUCCCCCUUCUGAAUUAAUCAGUAGAUGGAAAGCAUUUGAGAAGACUGGAUGCAGAAGGGUGGCCAACCAAAUGAAGAAGAGGAGUCAGGAUUUACCACGGUUUUUGACCAAAGGCCUCAACAAUUUCAAAAAUUUCAAAAUUUUAAUAUGUUUUUUAAAUUGCUUGGUACAGAUCACUAGAUGUGUAUCAGAAUCCUCUUCUAAAACAUGUAGCCUUGUAAUCAAUCCCAGCCCAGUAAUGUCUGUGUUGGACUCAGCAUUUUGUAUUUUUAAAAGUUCCUUGGGUAUUCUUCAUAUGACCAGGUUUUAA